GGUGGCUCAGUGCUAGAGUGCUUGCCUUGUAUGCAUGAGGCCCUGGGUUCAAUUCCUCAGCACCA
rnacentral:tRNA from 1 species